CUACGGAAGACCAAGUGAUCUGAUCUUCUUCUUCUCGUGGAGAGCCUCGACGGUGGAGUCCUCGUGGGCUAUGUUUAUGGACGGAAACGCGUGGUCUCGUUUACUUAUCCAAGCCGAGAGAAAAUUAAACACAUGCAGCGCAAAACAGGUCGCCUGUGCUCACACGGACGCGGGGGCGGAGAAAGGACGCGACGAACCGGAGGUCGCCGUCGGGCGUCGGCUGGACGAUUGAUUCGUCGGGACGGUUGCGUCGAGUUGUCAUUGAUCCGUUGGGCGUUGGGCGUUGAGAGCGAGAAAAAAAAAACGGUGGUCGUCAGGGUUCUCUGCUCGGCGGGGAAAAUCGUGGUUCAUGCGUUCGGGGCUCUACGUGUUUGGUGCCUUCUGGCUGCUCACUUGCUCCCAUCGAAGCGUGGCCGUGUUUCUACUUCGUGUGGAGAAAAACUUCCCGACGAGAGAGGUAUUAUCCGGAGAUACCAGAAUAAACGGGAUGAGCUGGACUCAAGUCAUCUGAACAGAUGAAACAGACAGACCGCGACAGACACCGGAAAAUCUCACUCAUGCAAGGCUUCGAUAUCGUUGCCACACACAAUAAAUUGUACAGCCUCAUCAGAACCACUCGCUUGGUCAAAAUGUUUCGUGCGACAGCACCCGGACUUUCAAA